CCGGAAUGAAAUCUCAAUCCAAGCUAGAAGACCGGAAUCAAGUUGAAGGCUAAUGGGUCAUUCCCAUUCCAGUCCGGAAUAGGAAUUCCAAACGGAUUCAUGCGAACCAAACAAAAUUAACCGGAUUUGAUCAAACCGAUUCCCAUUCCAUACCCAAAAUGGAUGAACCAAACAAGCCCUUAUAGUUUUCUAAACCAAACAGU
rnacentral:lncRNA from 1 species